AUCACCGAACAAGUACACCUUAAUACAAAGGCAUCAGAUAUAUUAGGUGCAGAUGCCAUUUCAGAAAAUAGAUUACAACUUAGGUUACUUGACUUGUAUUCUCCAAUCUGGUUAUCAAGAUCACCCAGGAGAUCUGCCAAGUCAUGUGCUUAGAAUAUAGACUGAAGCAGGAUGGAAUUUUUUUCUCCUAAAUACUUCUAGCUAAUGAGAUCACAGUUGAAGAUGCUGACAAUUUAUUGAACCUUGUGUCAUAUUUGUCUGGCAUUUGCGUUAACUCACAAAUUUCACAGGGCACUUCUAACAGUUCCAAUUAAUUCCCUCGCAUGAAAAUGGUGUUGGGUCGUAUAACUUAUCUUCAUUUUUAAUUCCCUGUACCUACAUAUUUGUGUUACCCAGAAAAGAAAAUGUAAUAAAUAGAAGUAAAAAUUAAGAAACACGACUGUGUCAAAGGUACCUGACCUUUUGUGAUCUUAGUGACUUGGAGGCAGUCUGCAUGUCUACAAUAUGAUUUUGUCCCGAGUGACUAAUAUGCCUGGUUGAAUGUUGAUCAUAUUUCAUUCUUUCGUAAUCUGUUUUUUCUCUCUUUGGCUGAUAUUUUUUAUAUUUGUUUCAAUCCGCUGAUGACUCUGCAAUAUCUUUGAGCAACAUUAUUCGUCAUCAUGAGACAGAAUACCUUGCUGCUCUUCAGGCAUCCUACUCAAAUUUGCCGGAUUUCACAUUCAAGGUCUGGAGAUUUUUAAUAAAUUUUUCUGAUGUUCUGGGGCUUUGACCAUUUAUGCUGGAUGAAUUUGUUCAAGCUUUUCAUGAUUAUGAUCCAAGGUUGUUAGGGGAGAUUCAUGUAGCUCUUUUAAGAUCCAUAAUUAAAGAUAUUGAGGAUGUAGCAAGGACACCCUCUUCGACUGGGCUGGGAGUAAAUCAAAAUACUGCUGCCAAUCCUGGAGGUGGCCAUCCAUAGAUUGUUGAAGGGGCGUAUGCUUGGGGCUUUGAUAUACGCAGCUGGCAGCGCCACUUAAAUCCACUGACCUGGCCUGAGGUAUUGCGACAAUUUGCUCUAUCUGCUGGAUUUGGGCCAAAAUUGAAGAAAAGGAGUAUUGAAAAAGCAUAUCUUCGUGAUGAAUUAAGGACAAGUUUUGGUAUAAUUCAGCAGAAGCAUAUAUAAAUUGUUGCAAACAAAUAUUAUAUGAAGGCCUGUCACCAAGAUGUAGAGGACUUGGCCAGCUCAAGAUCAGCAUGAAUGUGAUGUCAUCAGAUUAAUCUCACUCCCGUUUUUUGUGCUUGCAUUCCUUGUCCUGGGCUUAGUACCUCCUUUAUGGGGUAGAUUAACCUCACUUUUGUUUUCCUUGCAUUCCUUGGUUCUCUCUCUAGUUCAUUGGAAGAUUUAAAUCAAUUUUCCUGAAAAGCUGUUGGCCACUUGCGUAGGUUACAAUUCAGUCAACCUUAUUGUUGGUUACAAUUCACUUUUGGAUAUAUUAUUUUGUUCUUAA